UACAGAGGUCCCAAGCGUUGUUCGGAUUUACUGGGCGUAAGGCGUGCGCAGGCGGUUCGUUGUGUCUGAUGUGAAAGCCCCGGGCUCAACCUGGGAAUGGCAUUGGAAACUGGCGAGCUAGAGUGUGGCAGAGGGGGGUGGAAUUCCGCGUGUAGCAGUGAAAUGCGUAGAGAUGCGGAGGAACACCGAUGGCGAAGGCAGCCCCCUGGGCUAGCACUGACGCUCAGGCACGAAAGCGUGGGGAGCAAACAGG
rnacentral:rRNA from 1 species